rnacentral:rRNA from 1 species
AGAGCGAACGCUGGCGGCAGGCCUAACACAUGCAAGUCGAGCGCCGUAGCAAUACGGAGCGGCAGACGGGAGAGUAACACGUGGGAACGUGCCCUUCAGUUCGGAACAACCCAGGGAAACUUGGGCUAAUACCGGAUACGUCCGAAAGGAGAAAGAUUUAUCGCUGAAGGAUCGGCCCGCGUCUGAUUAGCUAGUUGGUGAGGUAACGGCUCACCAAGGCGACGAUCAGUAGCUGGUCUGAGAGGAUGAUCAGCCUCACUGGGACUGAGACACGGCCCAGACUCCUACGGGAGGCAGCAGUGGGGAAUAUUGGACAAUGGGCGCAAGCCUGAUCCAGCCAUGCCGCGUGGAUGAUGAAGGCCCUAGGGUUGUAAAGUCCUUUCGGCGGGGAAGAGUAAUGACGGGUACCCGCAGAAGAACGCCCCGGCUAACCUUCGUGCCAGCAGCCGC